UUGUUUUCAUCACACAGCAUUCAGCCAAUCAAAUUGCAGGACAACUAAUGAAAAACAGUUGUCAAACAACGCCCCAGUGAGAAAGAUUUAUACCAAAGUUGGUUUCGUUCGGGUAUAAAAACUACGACUUGGUCAACAAAAAACGAAUUGCCGUAUGCAAAUCACGCAGUUCGAAUAUUACAGACGGAGACGCAACAACUUCCAACUUCGUUCGACAUUUGAAGUUGCACAAAGAAGGAGGAAAAACUCCAGAAGCUGUCCACCUCCGAAUCAAGAACCUCAAGGAAUCGGCUGCACAAGUCGUUCAUUCCCUGGGCGUAACUCACCUCUGCAUUACACGGCAACAAACAGAUGCCAACUCAAGUUAGCCGGUGCUAAUGGAACCGAGAUUCCCUGAACCUUCAUCUCUGGAAACACACAAAUUAUUCUCUAAGGAAAAGGUAAAAAAAACAAAACAUUG